rnacentral:lncRNA from 1 species
GUCCUGAGGUUAAACAAGAAAGCGCUUGGAAGCUUGUGGGAGCAGGACCUCAAGGAUUCAUUAUGACUGUCUGCCACCACCACUGCUCCGGCCCCCAACCGGGCGGCGUGAAGACGUCCUGCAACAGCUCAGCGAGCCUGAGGUGUGUCCCAGGGAAGGUUCUGUGAAGAUCACGAAAGACAUGGUUUGUGGGGACACAAAGAGGAAUGUCCCGCUGGUACUGUUGUGGGGUCUCAAAAAGCCAGUCAUCACAAUGGCCUGAUCUGUGUGUUGAUACUGUUCCAGGUGCUGCCCUAAGGACUUGACACGUAGUACGUCAUGAGUCCCCAGCCCUGUAAGGAAGGUGCUGCAAGAGGUGGCCGUUACUCCCACAGUCUCACCCGAGGGAGGGGUCAGACCAGCCCCGGAUGGGAAGAGGGGGUGCCUGAGAAGGUUUUUGGAUUUUUAGCUCAACACCCAUCUCAAACUAUAAAAGAGUUUAAGCUGGAGAAGCCAGGAACUGGAACAAUCAGGAAGAAGACUCCUUUGGGAGAAGAUAUCUACAGCUACACCUACACCCACACACCCACAUCCACACAUCUCCACCUCCACCUACACCCACACAUCCACACCUACGCCCACACACCUACACUGACACAUCCACACCUACACCCACACAUCUACACCUGCACCGACACAUCUACACCUGCACCAACACAUCUACACCUGCACCAACACAUCCACACCUACACCCACACACCUACCCGACACAUCCACACCUACACCCACACAUCUACACCUGCACCCACACAUCCACACCUGCACCGACACAUCUACACCUGCACCCACACAUCCACACCUACACCCACACAUCUACACCUGCACCGACACAUCUACACCUGCACCAACACAUCCACACCUACACCCACACACCUACCCGACACAUCCACACCUACACCCACACAUCUACACCUGCACCGACACAUCCACACCUGCACCGACACAUCCACACCUGCACCCACACAUCCACACCUGCACCGACACAUCUACACCUCUACACCUACACCCACACAUCCACACCUACACCCACACAUCUACACCUGCACCCACACAUCAACACCUGCACCCACACAUCCACACCUGCACCGACACAUCCACACCUGCACCCACACAUCCACACCUGCACCCACACAUCCACACCUGCACCCACACAUCCACACCUGCACCCACACAUCCACACCUGCACCGACACAUCCACACCUGCACCCACACAUCCACACCUGCACCGACACAUCCACACCUGCACCCACACACCUACACCUACAACCACACAUCUCCACUUACACCCACACAUCUACACCUUUAUCCACACAUCCACACCUACACAUCUCCACCUACACCUACACACCCACACCCCGACACCUACACGUCCACACCUACACC